AGGAUUGCUUCCACUCUUAGUUACUGGGGUAUCUUGUCACCCCAGAGACCCAGAGCCAGAAUAUCAACACUUUUGAGUGAUUGCAGUUUUGUGACAACAUAAUACUGGUUCUCUCAGCCUCCUUCAUUGGAUUACCUUCCUCUCUGCUCCAUUUCAUCCAGUUCCAUAUUUUCGUUUGUCACUUCAAAGCUAAUAUUACCAUAACAAGUUUACAAAUAAUCAGACUUCCUGGUUACUUGUUAAUACUCAAUAAGAUAGCCUGCUUGCCCAUUUUGAAUAAUAUCAAUACAUUUCCAGACAAAACAUUAGUCAUUUCCCCUCAGUUUAAGUGCUGUCAAUCAGCUCUCCGUUAGGUACAAUGGCGAAAACACUCAUCCAGGAUCUUGGAUAUUUAGUGAAGUAGACGUGAAAAUUGGAUAACUACUCAUCAGAGUUUGAAGUGAUUAGGAAGGAAUUAACUCAGCCAGAGGAAAUCUGGGAUUUGAAUAGGGCUUUGAAGAAUGAAAGGUUUACAGAGGAUUUGGGAAGGUAAAUUGGAGGCUGCGAGGACAAGGAGAUGUAUGACUGGCACUCGCUCAAGGUUGAGUGGAACGAGUCAAAAUAAGUAGGACCCAUUCUGUGGAGGGCUUGUCAUGCAAGGGUAAGGAAUUGGAAUGUAUACAAUUGGAGGCGAAUAGAAGUUUUCUGUCAUGUUUUAAGAGUAAAACUGAAGGCCAUGUGUAUGAGUAUGGAUCAGGUGAUUGGGCCACCCAAGAACUUAGAUGAGAGAACUGAAUUAGGCUGCUGGCAGAACAGAAAGGACGGAGACAGCUGAUGGACGGUGCUUGGAUCCACAAUUGUGUUUGUACUACAGUUAAAAAAAAGCGCUAAGCACUCAUUAUAAAGCACUUGCUUUAAGCUGUUACACAGAUUGGUCACUAGGAGGCAUCAGUUCAUCAACUACUAAGGCGAAAAGGAAGGCAGCUCUGGACACCCACCUAAGAAGUCUGGAUAGUUCUGUGUUAAUACUUAACGUUUUCAACUCAAGGACUUUUGGAAACUAGAAUCUAGAAUAUUUCUUCUGAAUAGUACUUCAAAGAUGAAAUAAGGCUAAGAAGUCUAAACUGCACUCUGUGAGACUAUUUGUUUAUUUAUUUAAUUAUUUAUUUUGAGACAGAUUCUCGCUCUGUUGCCCAGGCUGGAGUGCAGUGGCGUGAUCUUGGCUCACUGUAACCUUCACCUCCCUGGCUCAAGCAAUUCUCCUGCCUCAGCCUCCCGAGUAGCUGGGAUUACAGGCGCUGUGGGUUUUUUUUUUUUUUGUAUUUUUAGUAGAGACGGGGUUUCACCAUGUUGGC
rnacentral:lncRNA from 10 species